rnacentral:rRNA from 1 species
CCUACGGGAGGCAGCAGUGGGGAAUAUUGGGCAAUGGAGGCAACUCUGACCCAGCAACGCCGCGUGAAUGAUGAAGGUCUUCGGAUUGUAAAGUUCUUUUCUACGGGAAGAAGAAAGUGACGGUACCUUAGGAAUAAGCCUCGGCUAACUACGUGCCAGCAGCCGCGGUAAUACGUAGGAGGCAAGCGUUAUCCGGAAUGACUGGGCGUAAAGGGUGCGUAGGUGGUUCAGCAAGUUAGUAGCGUAACUCCGGGGCUCAACCUCGGUACUACUACUAAAACUGUUGGACUUGAGUGCAGGAGAGGCAACUGGAAUGCCUGGUGUAGCGGUGGAAUGCGUAGAUAUUAGGAAGAACACCAGUGGCGAAGGCGGGUUGCUGGACUGUAACUGACGCUGAGGCACGAAAGCGUGGGGAGCGAACAGGAUUAGAUACCCUAGUAGUC